rnacentral:rRNA from 1 species
UACGUAGGCAGCAAGCGUUGUUCGGAAUUACUGGGCGUAAAGAGUGUGUAGGCGGUGCUCUAAGUUUGGUGUGAAAUCUCCCGGCUCAACUGGGAGGGUGCGCCGAAAACUGGAAUGCCUGAACGUGGGAGAGGAAAGCGGAAUUCCUGGUGUAGCGGUGAAAUGCGUAGAUAUCAGGAGGAACACCUGCGGUGUAGACGGCUUUCUGGACCAUUGUUGACGCUGAGACACGAAAGCGUGGGUAGCAAACAGG